rnacentral:lncRNA from 1 species
AUGCUACAGUUCCUGUUUUACAUCGGCUUUGUCCUUCAGACAUCUGCAUUUAUUGCGCCGCCUGAAGAAUAUGCUUGUCCUUUUCCAACCUCAAAACCAGAACUUGAUAGUUUACGACCCUUGGCGAAAAUUUACCAAGAUGAGAGAGAAGACGGGUGGUGGCCUUUUCGGGAGGUGGCCGGCCGUGAGACGUUCGUCGAUAAAACGACGUUCAUCAAACACUUCUUGGACAGUCGGGAGCAGCUCGUCCUGGUGGCGCCACCCAACUUCGGCAAGUCCACCAACCUGCAGAUGCUCAAGCACUUCUUUCAGAUCCCCGUUGACGCCAUGGGUGCCAACCUCACCUUCAACAUGGCAGAAAAAGCCACCUUCUUCGGGAACCUCGCCAUCUGCAAGAAGCAUCCCUCCAUCUGCAGUAGUUAUCUAUCCAGCGCCCCGGUCGUGUUUCUAGACCUGGAGUCCGUGGUCGGCUCAACCCCGACGACGUUCCACAAGACGUUCCGAGCGGAGGUGGAGCGGGUGUUCCGGGCGCACGGGUACCUGGCCAAGAGUGAGAGGCUUUCGGCGUUCAACAAGGAGGAGUUCGCGAGCUACGAGUCCCACCUCGGGGCCCCCAACCGGACGAUCGGCUUCUACAAGGACGGAAUCGACGUUCUGACCAGGCUCCUAUUCAUCCCCACCGGCGCAAGUGCAUCCUCCUCGUCGACAAUUUCGACCGCCUCGCCGUCGCAGCCAUGCUCGGCAAAGACGAGGAAUAUCUGCUCCCGACGGAGGUGGAGGAGAUCUACUGCUCGCUGGGGGAGACGGCGAAGCACUCGGCGUUCGUGUCUCGGACUUUGCUGA